UACGGGUUUUGAAAUGACAGUUGCU
rnacentral:piRNA from 1 species